GACGAACGCUGGCGGCGUGCUUAACACAUGCAAGUCGAACGGAAAGGCCCUGCUUUUGUGGGGUGCUCGAGUGGCGAACGGGUGAGUAACACGUGAGUAACCUGCCCUUGACUUUGGGAUAACUUCAGGAAACUGGGGCUAAUACCGGAUAGGAGCUCCUGCUGCAUGGUGGGGGUUGGAAAGUUUCGGCGGCUGGGGAUGGACGCGCGGCUUCUCAGCUUGUUGGUGGGGUAGUGGCUUACCACGGCUUAGACGGGUAGUCGGCCUGAGAGGGUGACCGGCCACAUUGGGACUGCGAUACGGCCCAGACUCCUACGGGAGGCAGAAGUGGGGAAUAUUGCACAAUGGGCGGAAGCCUGAUGCAGCAACGCCGCGUGCGGGAUGACGGCCUUCGGGUUGUAAACCGCUUUCGCCUGUGACGAAGCGGGAGUGACGGUAAUGGGUAAAGAAGCACCGGCUAACUACGUG
rnacentral:rRNA from 1 species